AUGAGAAUUACGGUUCUCAAGUUAGGGCUGAAAUUGUGUUGGUUUUCAACUUACUGUCAGCUAUCGCCCCGAGCUCGCCGGGCGACGCUUGGGCGACCAGAAGCAUGGAAAAAACCCAAUUUUGAGCGUCAUGCGAUGCUUUUUUGUUGUCGGGCGAUACGGGCCAGGCAGGAAUGCAUAUUUAGGGGUAAAAACUCUUUUUUUUAG